rnacentral:RNase_P_RNA from 1 species
CGAGGCGGACGGGUGACCGCCGGCGAAGUAAAUAGCGUUGGAGGAAAGUCCGGGCUCCACAGAGCAGGGCGCUGGGUAACACCCAGUCGGGGCGACCCGAAGGAAAGUGCCACAGAAAAAAACCGCCGGGCAGCGUGAAUCUCCGGAGACGCGCCGCCAGGUAAGGGUGAAAAGGUGGGGUAAGAGCCCACCGGCGACCGGGUGACCGGCCGGCCAGGUAAACCCCGCCCGGAGCAAGACCAAAUAGGAGGACGUUUUAACGGCGGCUCGCCCAGUCCUCGGGUAUCAGUCGCUA